rfam:Ovis aries breed Texel chromosome 2, whole genome shotgun sequence.
UGGCUCAGAGGGUAAAGCAUCUGUCUGCAAUGCAGGAGACCUGGGUUCGAUCCCUG